rnacentral:rRNA from 1 species
CAGUAGCCGCGGUAAUACGUAGGGUGCAAGCGUUAAUCGGAAUUACUGGGCGUAAAGCGUGCGCAGGAGGUUAUAUAAGACAGAUGUGAAAUCCCCGGGCUCAACCUGGGAACUGCAUUUGUGACUGUAUAGCUAGAGUACGGCAGAGGGGGAUGGAAUUCCGCGUGUAGCAGUGAAAUGCGUAGAUAUGCGGAGGAACACCGAUGGCGAAGGCAAUCCCCUGGGCCUGUACUGACGCUCAUGCACGAAAGCGUGGGGAGCAAACAGGAUUAGAUACCCCCGUAGUCCCUGUCUCUUAUAC